rnacentral:rRNA from 1 species
UACGUAGGGGGCUAGCGUUGUCCGGAUUUAUUGGGCGUAAAGAGCGUGUAGGCGGCCAAGUAGGUCCGGUGUGAAAACUCGAGGCUUAACCUCGAGAUGUCAUCGGAAACCAUUUGGCUAGAGUCCGGAAGAGGAAAGUGGAAUUCCUGGUGUAGCGGUGAAAUGCGUAGAGAUGUGGAGGAAUACCGAUGGCGAAGGCAGCCCCCUGGGAUAACACUGACGCUCAUGCACGAAAGCGUGGGGAGCAAACAGG